UAUCUCUUUGUAAAAUCAAUCCCAGAAUCAUCAAUGAAUGCUUCUUCCUCCUUCUCCAUUUCAGUGUUCUUCAUCUUUAGUUUCAGAUUCUCAAUUUCUUAUUAAUAUCACAAUUAUAAUUAAUAUUUCAUAACACGUUAUCAGCACGAUGCUCUACCCAAAACCCACAAUAAUCACUUCCAUCGUUUUUCCGGCCAACACCAUUUUUUCCGGCCAAAAACAAAAAUGAAAAACAACAACAAAUCCAUGUCACACUCCGGCGAACCCCGUCGCAACCACCGACGCCACCACUACGGCGGUUGGUAGUAGCUUCGCGAUCCAUGAACCUCCGUUCCUCCGCUUCUUGACCAACGGCAAGAUAACGGCGGACAUGGCGGUAGCAGCCUCUAUCUCCCGUCGUCCGUAAACAGCAGACGAUGACGAGUUUCCUCUGGCGGCGGAGUUGGUUCCGGCGACGACGCUGUCCGACUUUUGUCUUCUUCAUACGAUGCCGGCGACGAGCGAUAGAGGAAUUGACGAACGACAAAGAUGGCCGGCGUCAAGCUCGAUCUCUUUCUCUCUCUCCCUCACGAGUCACGGACGAAGAAGAUGAUUUGCAGAAAAUGGCAGUAAUGGAGGGGGUGAUGAUGCAAAGCUGAUGUUAAUGAGGAUGAAACCGGCCACUGAUUAUCUGGUUCCCUCCCUCUCUUGAAAUGGUUUGCUAUUAUUAUUAUUAUUAUUAUAAUAAUAAUAAUAAUAAUAAUAAUAAUAAUAAAAUGAUUUAUGGGGUAGCACGGCUACCCCAUGUGACUUCUCUUAAAGUGGGGGACUUUGUCCCCCACGUUGCUAUUAUUUAAAAAAAAAAAAAUUUAAAUAAAUAAAUAGAAGUGGGGGACAUGCUGCCGUCCCCCACACUAUUUUAAAUAAAAAAAAAAAUUAUUAUUAUUAACAUUAUUUUAAGAUUUGUUUAGUUCACAGGUUCUCUAUCAGAUUGAUCAGGUAUUCACGAGAACUUAGGCUUUGAUGGGUUUCCAGUCAAGCCAGGAAUUAAUGAACAGAACUAAGUAUGAGUAUAUCGCAAGGAAUAAAUUAUCGGAGAUCAUGACCAUACUCCGAUAGGUUUACCUUAUCAUAUUUUAAAAUAUUAUCCAUGCCAUUUAUUUUCAUAUGAUAUUAGUUAUGUGCAAAUGAUUAUUAUGUGCACUAGUAAAAUAUUAUUAUGGCAUGAUAAGAGUAUAUAUGAUCUAUGUAUUUACAUCCAGUUGAUUUAAUUUUGAGAGCAUUUGAAAUAUGAAAUAUUGUGACAAGCAUUUUAUAUGGUAAAUGCUAUGAAUAUUAUGUGACAA